rnacentral:tRNA from 1 species
GAGAUAGCUCAGUUGGGAGAGCAACUGCUUUGCAAGCAGAAGGUCGUUGGUUCAAUUCGGUCCACUUCCACCA